rnacentral:rRNA from 1 species
CCUACGGGUGGCAGCAGUGGGGAAUAUUGGGCAAUGGGCGCAAGCCUGACCCAGCAACGCCGCGUGAAGGAAGAAGGCUUUCGGGUUGUAAACUUCUUUUCUCAGGGACGAAGCAAGUGACGGUACCUGAGGAAUAAGCCACGGCUAACUACGUGCCAGCAGCCGCGGUAAUACGUAGGUGGCAAGCGUUAUCCGGAUUUACUGGGUGUAAAGGGCGUGUAGGCGGGGACGCAAGUCAGAUGUGAAAACCACGGGCUCAACCUGUGGGCUGCAUUUGAAACUGUGUUGCUUGAGUGCUGGAGAGGAGUAUGCGGAAUGCGCGGUGUAGCGGUGAAAUGCAUAGAUAUCGCGCAGAACUCCGAUGGCGAAGGCAGCAUGCCGGCUCCACACUGACGCUGAGGCACGAAAGCGUGGGUAUCGAACAGGAUUAGAUACCCCUGUAGUC